rnacentral:rRNA from 1 species
GACGAACGCUGGCGGCGUGCUUAACACAUGCAAGUCGAACGGAAAGGCCCUGCUUUUGUGGGGUGCUCGAGUGGCGAACGGGUGAGUAACACGUGAGUAACCUGCCCUUGACUUUGGGAUAACUUCAGGAAACUGGGGCUAAUACCGGAUAGGAGCUCCUGCUGCAGGGUGGGGGUGGGAAAGUUUCGGCGGUUGGGGAUGGACUCGCGGCUUUUCAGCUUGUUGGUGGGGUAGGGGCUUACCAAGGCUUUGACGGGUAGCCGGCCGGGGGGGGUGACCGGCCACAUUGGGACUGAGAUACGGCCCAGACUCCUACGGGAGGCAGCAGUGGGGAAUAUUGCACAAUGGGCGGAAGCCUGAUGCAGCAACGCCGCGUGCGGGAUGACGGCCUUCGGGUUGUAAACCGCUUUCGCCUGUGACGAAGCGUGAGUGACGGUAAUGGGUAAAGAAGCACCGGCUAACUACGUG